rnacentral:rRNA from 1 species
UACGGGGGGGGCAAGCGUUGCUCGGAAUCACUGGGCGUAAAGGGCGCGUAGGCGGGAUGGCAAGGCAGUCGUGAAAUCUCUCGGCUCAACCGAGAAACGUCGGCUGAUACUGCCGUUCUUGAGGGAUGCAGAGGAGACUGGAAUUCCCGGUGUAGCGGUGAAAUGUGUAGAGAUCGGGAGGAACACCGGUGGCGAAGGCGGGUCUCUGGGCAUCUCCUGACGCUGAGGCGCGAAAGCGUGGGGAGCAAACAGG